rnacentral:rRNA from 1 species
AUUGAACGCUGGCGGCAUGCCUUACACAUGCAAGUCGAACGGUAACGCGGGGGCAACCCUGGCGACGAGUGGCGAACGGGUGAGUAAUACAUCGGAACGUACCCAGUAGUGGGGGAUAGCUCGGCGAAAGCCGGAUUAAUACCGCAUACGACCUAUGGGUGAAAGCGGGGGAUCGCAAGACCUCGCGCUAUUGGAGCGGCCGAUGUCGGAUUAGCUAGUUGGUGAGGUAAAGGCNCACCAAGGCUACGAUCCGUAGCUGGUCUGAGAGGACAACCAGCCACACUGGGACUGAGACACGGCCCAGACUCCUACGGGAGGCAGCAGUGGGGAAUUUUGGACAAUGGGCGAAAGCCUGAUCCAGCCAUGCCGCGUGUGUGAAGAAGGCCU